UCCCUCCCGCGAUCCCCUCUGCCUCGCACGCAGCCACCGCUCGCCCUCACGCCGCCUCCGCCUCAGCUCGCCCUCGCGCCGCUGCCGCCUCUGCCCCCGCUCGCCCUCGCUCCGCUGUCGCCUUCGCCUCCGCUCGCCCUCAUCUCUGCUCAUUAGGAGGAGCGCGGCUCACCGCUGGACCUCGCGAGAGAGGUCAGGGUUAGGGUCUCGGCCCGGGGUGGCUACUGCGGAGCUCCUGGCGGGCUACCUGCUCUGCCUGCUCGCGCUUGCGGUGGCCAAGGCGACCACGCUGCUCUGGGUCAUGCAUCGUCGCUCCACUCCACGAUGCCAUGUCGCUCCCCCGCGCCUCCUCCCGGUCCUCCAGGAAGAAGAGGAUGCAUACGAAGUAAGGCUUUGGCUUUCCUCUCCUCCAAGUUCUUCCAGCAUGAGGCUGGAUGGAGUAGGAUUAGUUAGUGGAUCGGAUGCCAGAUGCGUGGAUGUGUGUUUGGGGGUUGCAAUCAGUCAGAUUUGUACUGUACUACUUCUGCUUGAACUCUAAAAUUCAGUAAGUUGCUCGGUACUGUGAGAACGUGGAGAUGUGCAGGCUCACAGAGUGGAUAAGUUGUAGAUUGUGUAUGGAUAAGUAAGAUAUGUGGCUGCUAGGUGCAGGUACACAAAGAUGAUGAGGUCAGAGCCUUGUUUAAGCAAGUGCAAGGAGAAGUCCCUGGAUUGCCUAUAAUCAUUAUGAAGGUGGCAUCUCAGGAACCUUCUAUUGAGUUGUUUUACUGGCUUAAUUUGGCCGCUCUUGAGCAUCCAGCAGCUCUGUAUCCGAAGACUGUCACCAUUUAUAAAUACUACGUACUUGUUGCUAUGUAAGAAAACCAUACAUCCAACAACUGCCAAUGGGGCGCGCCACGAUGUGUGUUGGCGGGCUCCAUUCUUUGCUCCAGGCAAGUCUCUUUUCCUGGUUAAAUCUUCAUAAUUGUUUAUGUAACCAAUUUAGGCUUUGAUUUCCUUAGCAAUGUGCACAUCAUGUGUUUUAUGCGAUGUACAACAGGAAUCAUUGUACUCGACGGUCUCUGUUUUCUAUAAGUGAGGAGCAUAACAUGGCUAUGGUAGAUUCCAUGUGUCAUGUUCUUGACCUAAAUAGUCCAUCGUUGGAACUGAUGUUCAUGCGAACCUUACCAUAAAGCUUAUGUUUCAGGUACAAGUAUGUUGGCUUGAGAAGCAUCAGAACUAAAGGUUGAAUAUAAGCAAGUGAAAUUCUAACAACCUCAAUAUUCUGUGAUGUCGACCUGGUGUCAUACUACUUAAUUAACUCAUUGUGUGCCAUACCCCUGGUCGUGAUGCCCAUGACUUCAGUCCUUGCUUGUGAUAUGUCUCCAACGUAUCUAUAAUUUUUGAUUGUUCCAUGCUAUUAUAUUAUCCCUUUUGGAUGUUUAUGGGCUUUAUUUUACAUAUUUAUAUCAUUUUUGGGACUAACCUACUAACCGG